GCCUGGUUGGCUCAGUUGGUUAAGCAUCUGACUCUUGAUUUCAGCUCAGGUCAUGAUUUCACAGUUCUGUGAGUUCGAGCCCCACAUCAGGCU
rnacentral:tRNA from 1 species